AUGCUAAAACGCAUUUCGUUCUAGCAUCUACCCGAAAGAAACAUGCGUUUCGGAGUCAGGUAGUCGCCUUUUAGCAUCCCCGGCGUCUUCUCGUGGCUCGAACGGCUUCAAGCACACUUGUUAGAUUCUUGAUGAUAAUAAGAAGGAUUUGAUCCCGGUUUGGUUGAUGGAACAUAUUAGAUCUGAUUUUGUUUCAAGAUGAAUGUUAUAUUAGUGUUAUCAUCAUGUAAAUCUGUUAAAAAUUAGUUAAAUUAUCAUUUUCUUCUUUAUA